GGAGCGGUGACCGAGUGGCCGAAGGUGCUCCCCUGCUAAGGGAGUAUGGGGUGUAGAGCCUCAUCGAGGGUUCGAAUCCCUCCCGCUCCGCCA
rnacentral:tRNA from 3 species